rnacentral:rRNA from 1 species
UACGAAGGGGCUAGCGUUGCUCGGAAUCACUGGGCGUAAAGCGCACGUAGGCGGAUUGUUAAGUCAGGGGUGAAAUCCUGGAGCUCAACUCCAGAACUGCCUUUGAUACUGGCGAUCUUGAGUCCGAGAGAGGUGAGUGGAACUGCGAGUGUAGAGGUGAAAUUCGUAGAUAUUCGCAAGAACACCAGUGGCGAAGGCGGCUCACUGGCCCGGUACUGACGCUGAGGUGCGAAAGCGUGGGGAG